GGGAAUGUGGCCUAGUGGUAGAGUGCUUGCCUGGAAUGCAUGAGGCCCUGGGUUCGAUUCCUCAGCACCA
rnacentral:tRNA from 1 species